rnacentral:rRNA from 1 species
UGUAUAUGAGGCAGUUUGACUGGGGCGGUCGCCUCCUAAAGAGUAACGGAGGCGCGCGAAGGUUGGCUCAGGACGGUUGGAAACCGUCUGUUAGAGUGCAAUGGCAUAAGCCAGCCUGACUGCGAGACUGACAAGUCGAGCAGAGACGAAAGUCGGUCAUAGUGAUCCAAAAGUACCGCGUGGAAGGGCUUUUGCUUAACGAAUCAAAGAUACGCUAGGGAUAACAGGCUAAUAAUUCCCAAGAGUCCUUAUCGACGGAAUUGUUUGGCACCUCGAUGUUGACUGAUCAUAUCCUGGGGCUGAAGAAGGUCCCAAGGGUUCGGCUGUUCGCCGAUGAAAAUGGUACCUGAGUUGAGUUUAGAACGUCGUGAGACAGUUUGGAUUCUACCUGGGGUGCGCGUAAGAAUUGAGAAAACUACUUCUUUGUACGAGAGGACCGGAAGUAUUCAACCUCUGGUGGACUGGUUGUUAAGCCAUUAGCAUUGCCAGGAAGCUACGUUGAGACAGGAGAACCGUUGAAAGCAUAUGAAACGGGAAACUUUUUUCAAGACAAAUUCUUUUUUUUCGUGAAAGAUUCUCACGUUGAUAGGCGAAAUGUGUACAAUUUGUAAAAAUUCUAGCU